rnacentral:rRNA from 1 species
AUUGAACGCUGGCGGCAGGCCUAACACAUGCAAGUCGAGCGAGCGGCGGACGGGUGAGUAAUGUCUGGGAAACUGCCUGGUAGCGGGGGAUAACUAUUGGAAACGAUAGCUAAUACCGCAUACUACCAGAUGGACCUGCGUUGUAUUAGCUAGUUGGUGGGGUAACGGCUCACCAAGGCAACGAUACAUAGCCGACCUGAGAGGGUGACCAGCCACACUGGAACUGAGACACGGUCCAGACUCCUACGGGAGGCAGCAGUGGGGAAUAUUGCACAAUGGGCGCAAGCCUGAUACAGCCAUGCCGCGUGUGUGAAGAAGGCCUUCGGGUUGUAAAGCACUUUCAGCGGGGAGGCGUUACCCGCAGAAGAAGCACCGGCUAACUCCGUGCCAGCAGCCGCGGUAAUAC